GGGCGAUUAGCUCAGUUGGUUUAGAGCAUUCGGUUUACACCCGAAAGGUCGGAGGUUCGAACCCUCCAUCGCCCA
rnacentral:tRNA from 1 species